UGCGAAUUGGAAGUGUGCUUUCAAUAUUGCUGCAUAUUGAUUCCAAGACAAAGUAGCUUCACAAGUUUUAAUUCACUUGUUUGUUUCUCUUCGCUUCAGCAUGCUAGUGAACCUACGGAGGGACAAUAAGACUCAAGGUUGCCUACAAGUUACAAGCAGACCUUCAAGCAAAGUUGAUCAUCAUGAAUGUUGGGAGUGAUCAAGAUUAUAGAUGCGUACGAAUAAUAUAGGUGUUCUACAUACUUUAUUAUUGGGAGUCAUGUGGAUGAAUGGACAAGAGUAUUUUCAUAUGUCGAAUAUUCUAUUUUAUCGUGAAUGGUGUGCGUGAAUGAUGGAUUGAUUUAAUUAAUGAUAUAUAUGUGGCAUCAAUUUUUGUUUUGGAUCUUCCAUUAUAUUCAAAAACAUGACGACGACAUAUUUUCCGUUGCGAUAUCCAUUGAGCAUAUAACCACGACCCGUAUUGUGUUGCACUACCCUGUACGCAUAUAACCACGACAUAUUUCGUUGCGAUAUGGUUGAUGCAUAUAAUGACGGCACACACCUUGUUGUGAUACCUUGUAAGCAUAUUACAAUGCUUUCUCAUCGUUGCGAUAUCCAUUGAGCGUAUAACCACGAUCCGUAUUGUGUUGCAAUAACCUGUACGCAUAUAACCACGACAUAUUUCUUUGCGAUAUGGUUGAAGC
rnacentral:lncRNA from 1 species